GAUGAACGCUGGCGGCGUGCCUAAUACAUGCAAGUCGAGCGAACAGACGAGGAGCUUGCUCCUCUGACGUUAGCGGCGGACGGGUGAGUAACACGUGGAUAACCUACCUAUAAGACUGGGAUAACUUCGGGAAACCGGAGCUAAUACCGGAUAAUAUAUUGAACCGCAUGGUUCAAUAGUGAAAGGCGGUUUUGCUGUCACUUAUAGAUGGAUCCGCGCCGCAUUAGCUAGUUGGUAAGGUAACGGCUUACCAAGGCAACGAUGCGCAGCCGACCUGAGAGGGUGAUCGGCCACACUGGAACUGAGACACGGUCCAGACUCCUACGGGAGGCAGCAGUAGGGAAUCUUCCGCAAUGGGCGAAAGCCUGACGGAGCAACGCCGCGUGAGUGAUGAAGGUCUUCGGAUCGUAAAACUCUGUUAUUAGGGAAGAACAAAUGUGUAAGUAACUAUGCACGUCUUGACGGUACCUAAUCAGAAAGCCACGGCUAACUACGUG
rnacentral:rRNA from 1 species